rnacentral:rRNA from 1 species
UACGUAGGGUGCAAGCGUUGUCCGGAAUUAUUGGGCGUAAAGAGCUCGUAGGCGGUCUGUCGCGUCUGCUGUGAAAACCUAGGGCUUAACUCUGGGCGUGCAGUGGGUACGGGCAGACUAGAGUGCGGUAGGGGAGACUGGAAUUCCUGGUGUAGCGGUGAAAUGCGCAGAUAUCAGGAGGAACACCGGUGGCGAAGGCGGGUCUCUGGACACUUCCUGACACUGAGGCACGAAAGCUAGGGGGAGCAAAACAGG